rnacentral:lncRNA from 1 species
GCACAUAUUUAAGUGCAUCAGCUGGUAGGUUUUGUCAUUUAGUCAGAAUCCCCAAAAUAAAUCAACUCUGCUCUAAACUUUGUUUCCGGCCAAACACUAGGUUGGUACAGUAGGCCUUUUUAAAGACAAAUUUAACUCGAUCUGUUGUUAUUUCUACUUAAGUAAAAAUGAGUUUUCAAAUAUUUUCCCCAAGAGAAACAUAACAGACUAUCCAAAAAUUUUCAAAGAAGAAAAAAAUGUAGUUAGAGUUCCAGAGGAGCUUUAAAACAUGGAGUUGACAAAUUCACAUAUUGACUUAUGAUCUUAAUGAGCAGGGAUCCAUGCUUUUUAUUUACUUGAGAACAUUUUGGUUAUUAACUAUUUCUAUUUUCUAAAUAUACCUGUGUUUAUAAA